AUGAACGCUGGCGGCGUGCUUAACACAUGCAAGUCGAACGAAGCACUUUACUUGAUCUCCUUCGGGAUUGAUUGUUCUGUGACUGAGUGGCGGACGGGUGAGUAACGCGUGGAUAACCUGCCUCACACAGGGGGAUAACAGUUGGAAACGGCUGCUAAUACCGCAUAAGCGCACGGUACCGCAUGGUGCAGUGUGAAAAACUCCGGUGGUGUGAGAUGGAUCCGCGUCUGAUUAGCUGGUUGGCGGGGUAACGGCCCACCAAGGCGACGAUCAGUAGCCGGCCUGAGAGGGCGACCGGCCACAUUGGGACUGAGACACGGCCCAGACUCCUACGGGAGGCAGCAGUGGGGAAUAUUGCACAAUGGGGGAAACCCUGAUGCAGCGACGCCGCGUGAGCGAUGAAGUAUUUCGGUAUGUAAAGCUCUAUCAGCAGGGAAGAUAAUGACGGUACCUGACUAAGAAGCUCCGGCUAAAUACGUGCCAGCAGCCGCGGUAAUACGUAUGGAGCAAGCGUUAUCCGGAUUUACUGGGUGUAAAGGGAGCGUAGGCGGUCCUGCAAGUCUGAUGUGAAAACCCGGGGCUCAACCCCGGGACUGCAUUGGAAACUGUAGGACUAGAGUGUCGGAGGGGUAAGUGGAAUUCCUAGUGUAGCGGUGAAAUGCGUAGAUAUUAGGAGGAACACCAGUGGCGAAGGCGGCUCUCUGGUCUGUAACUGACGCUGAGGCUCGAAAGCGUGGGGAGCAAACAGGAUUAGAUACCCGGGUAGUCCACGCCGUAAACGAUGAAUACUAGGUGUUGGCAGGUAAGACCUGUCGGUGCCGCAGCUAACGCAAUAAGUAUUCCACCUGGGGAGUACGUUCGCAAGAAUGAAACUCAAAGGAAUUGACGGGGGCCCGCACAAGCGGAGGAACAUGUGGUUUAAUUCGAUGAUACGCGAGGAACCUUACCCGGGCUUAAAUUGCAAAUGAAUUAUGGGGAAACCCAUACGCCGCGAGGCAUUUGUGAAGGUGCUGCAUGGUUGUCGUCAGCUCGUGUCGUGAGAUGUUGGGUUAAGUCCCGCAACGAGCGCAACCCCUAUCCCCAGUAGCCAGCAUUUCGGAUGGGCACUCUGUGGAGACUGCCAGGGACAACCUGGAGGAAGGUGGGGAUGACGUCAAAUCAUCAUGCCCCUUAUGACUUGGGCUACACACGUGCUACAAUGGCGUAAACAAAGGGAAGCGAGACCGCGAGGUGGAGCAAAUCCCAAAAAUAACGUCCCAGUUCGGAUUGUAGUCUGCAACUCGACUACAUGAAGCUGGAAUCGCUAGUAAUCGCAGAUCAGAAUGCUGCGGUGAAUACGUUCCCGGGCCUUGUACACACCGCCCGUCACACCAUGGGAGUCGGAAAUGCCCGAAGCCGGUGGCCUAACUGCAAAGAGGGAGCCGUCGAAGGCAGGUCUGAUAACUGGGGUG
rnacentral:rRNA from 1 species